CAUAAACUUUGUUCCAUAAUCUUAGACACCAUAACAUAGCUAAGGGUAGCAAUACGGCUGACAACAAGACAAUGUCAGCUUCCACAUAGUUCUUAAUCCUUCUAUUUGCUGGAUGUUCACCACAAUACUCUGUGCAACACCCCAAUUGUUGAAAGGGUAAUACAGAAAUAGCGGCAUUAGACAGCACUGCAUCUUCAGGACAUUCCAAGUUAGUUUAUGUCCUCAUAAGUAAGCAUCUCAGUUUCUUCGGCCAGCAUGGUUUUUGACCAAACAGAUUUAAUUGUAAAAAAGGUAGAUAGGCAGGUAGUUCAGCCAGAGAGAUUGGUGUGUAGUCCCAAAUAUCAGGCGGCACAAAUACUCCAGUACGGUCUCUAUAAUCAUACAAACACAAGGAUCAGUACGACAUCAAUAAAUUAAUUAUCUAGGCUAAACUCAAAUUAGAGACUAAAGUUAAACUCUUAACUAGUGUAACA
rnacentral:lncRNA from 1 species